AGAAAUUGUCCAGAGCAAUCACCGUCCAUAGCCACUUCCGUCCACACCGCUCGGAAGCCCUGUUGACCCACCGCUUUGUCCGCAGAUAUAAAACUGAAUCGUAUGGGGGUGUAACUAUCAAUUCAAUCAGGAAUGAAUUUUA